rnacentral:rRNA from 1 species
GACGAACGCUGGCGGCGUGCCUAAUACAUGCAAGUUGAGCGCUGAAGGUUGGUACUUGUACCAACUGGAUGAGCAGCGAACGGGUGAGUAACGCGUGGGGAAUCUGCCUUUGAGCGGGGGACAACAUUUGGAAACGAAUGCUAAUACCGCAUAAAAACUUUAAACACAAGUUUUAAGUUUGAAAGAUGCAAUUGCAUCACUCAAAGAUGAUCCCGCGUUGUAUUAGCUAGUUGGUGAGGUAAAGGCUCACCAAGGUGAUGAUACAUAGCCGACCUGAGAGGGUGAUCGGCCACAUUGGGACGGAGACACGGCCCAAACUCCUACGGGAGGCAGCAGUAGGGAAUCUUCGGCAAUGGACGAAAGUCUGACCGAGCAACGCCGCGUGAGUGAAGAAGGUUUUCGGAUCGUAAAACUCUGUUGGUAGAGAAGAACGUUGGUGAGAGUGGAAAGCUCAUCAAGUGACGGUAACUACCCAGAAAGGGACGGCUAACUACGUG